rnacentral:tRNA from 3 species
AGUAAGAGGAAAAUCCGUCGACUUUCAAGAUCAUGAGGGUUCAAAUCCCUC